rnacentral:rRNA from 1 species
GAUGAACGCUGGCGGCGUGCUUAACACAUGCAAGUCGAGCGAGUGUGUUCUUCGGAACGAUCUAGCGGCGGACGGGUGAGUAACACGUGGGCAACCUGCCUCAUAGAGGGGAAUAGCCUCCCGAAAGGGAGAUUAAUACCGCAUAAAAUUAUCGAGUGGCAUCACAUGAUAAUCAAAGGAGUAAUCCGCUAUGAGAUGGGCCCGCGGCGCAUUAGCUAGUUGGUAAGGUAACGGCUCACCAAGGCGACGAUGCGUAGCCGACCUGAGAGGGUGAUCGGCCACAUUGGGACUGAGACACGGCCCAGACUCCUACGGGAGGCAGCAGUGGGGAAUAUUGCACAAUGGGGGAAACCCUGAUGCAGCAACGCCGCGUGAGUGAUGAAGGUCUUCGGAUUGUAAAGCUCUGUCUUUGGGGACGAUAAUGACGGUACCCAAGGAGGAAGCCACGGCUAACUACGUGCCAGCCGCCGCGGUAA